rnacentral:rRNA from 2 species
AUGCAAGUCGAACGAGAUCUUCGGAUCUAGUGGCGCACGGGUGCGUAACGCGUGGGGAUCUACCAUAGGGUGCGGAAUAACUCAGAGAAAUUUGAGCUAAUACCGCAUAAUGUCUUCGGACCAAAGAUUUAUCGCCCUAUGAUGAACCCGCGUAAGAUUAGCUUGUUGGUGAGGUAAAGGCUCACCAAGGCGACGAUCUUUAGCUGGUCUGAGAGGAUGAUCAGCCACACUGGGACUGAGACACGGCCCAGACUCC